UACGCCCACGACGUAGUCAAGUCAACGCACCUCUCGAGCUCUCUCGCCCCGUCGCCCGAGACCGACGCCGGCAGUGCCGCACGCCGCCUCCGUCUCUUCUCCCCGACCCUACCCUACCCUACCCGCACAUCCCCGCCGUCGAUCUGCUCAGCCCCGCCGCUGUUCGAUCUCCUAAGCCCCGCUGCCUAUCUGCUCAGCCUCAGCCCCGCCGCCGUCGGCCGUCACCGCACCAGCCAUCAUCGACGCCGGACCACGGCGAGGCGUCGAUGCCCUCCAUGGCGGGAGCUGGGAUGAGGGCGUCCAUGACGGGCAGGACUCCGUCCUCCCCCAGUCUCCCACCUCCUCCCUUCAGCGGCCCGACCCAAUACGAUGGCAUUACUCCAUCAUCCCCAUGGCCGCCGCCUUCCUCGGCCGGGAACAACUUCUUGGGGCCGCCUGAGCCGCUGCUGCGCCAGAGCGUUAGAUUUCAAGUAUGUUGCCAGCCAUGGAGGAGCCCCUUGUUGGGGGCAACAGCAGCGCUGAGGAGACAGGAGGGCCAAAAGAGAGCUUGGUGGUGACCGAGGUUAAGAAGCAGCUGUACCUCGCCGGGCCCCUCAUCGCCGGAUGCCUCUUGCAGAGCGUCGUGCAGAUGAUAUCGGUCAUGUUUGUCGGCCAUCUCGGUGAGCUCGCUCUCUCGAGUGCCUCCAUCGCCACCUCCUUUGCCGGUGUCACCGGCUUCAGCUUGUUGUCUGGCAUGGCGAGCAGCUUGGACACACUGUGUGGGCAAGCCUUUGGGGCAAAACGGUACCAUCUGCUCGGCAUCUACAAGCAGAGGGCCAUCCUUGUGCUCACUCUGGUGAGCGUUGUGGUUGCGGUGCUCUGGGCGUACACUGGGCAGAUCCUCCUGCUCUUCGGCCAGGACCCGGAGAUUGCCAUGGGGGCAGGGAGCUACAUCCGGUGGAUGAUUCCAGCACUGUUCGCUUACGGACUGCUGCAGUGCCAUGUCCGGUUCCUCCAGACACAGAACAUUGUCCUCCCGGUGAUGGCGAGCGCAGGCGUCACGGCGCUGAGCCACGUGCUUGUGUGCUGGUUGCUGGUGUACAAGCUUGGGCUGGGCAACAAGGGCGCUGCCCUGGCCAAUGGCAUCUCAUACCUGGCCAAUGUGUCAAUCUUGGCUAUCUACAUCAGGGUCUCUCCAUCCUGCAGGAGCACCUGGACAGGCCUCUCAAAGGAGGCGUUUCACGACAUCCUUAGCUUCAUGAAGCUUGCCGUGCCAUCUGCGCUGAUGGUUUGCCUAGAGUGGUGGUCGUUUGAGCUGCUGGUACUUCUCUCCGGACUUCUCCCAAAUCCUAAGCUGGAGGCAUCGGUGUUGUCCAUUUGUUUGAACACAAGUUCAUUAGCAUUCAUGAUCCCCUUCGGUCUUGGGGCAGCCAUAAGCACCCGUGUUUCAAAUGAGCUUGGUGCUGGGCGACCUGAAGCUGCCCGUCUGGCUACUCGUGUGAUCAUGGUUCUUGGCCUUGCGACUGGUGUGUCUUUAGGACUUAUUAUGCUCUCGGGGCGCAAUCUAUGGGGGUACGCAUACAGCAAUGAGAAUGAGGUGGUGGAAUACAUUGCAAGAAUGAUGCCGCUUCUUUCCGUGACGAUCAUUUUCGACGAUCUACAAUGUGUUCUUUCAGGUAUUGUCAGAGGCUGUGGCUUGCAAAGGAUUGGUGCUUGUGUGAAUCUCAGCGCGUACUACCUUGUCGGCAUUCCGGCGGCGCUAUGCUUUGCCUUUGUCUACCAUCUUGGCGGAAUGGGGCUGUGGUUCGGAAUAAUCUGUGGGAUAGUGGUACAGAUGCUGCUGCUGCUGAGCAUUACCAUGCGCACCAACUGGGAUAAAGAGGCUCUCAAGGCAAAGGACAGAGUUUUCAGUUCGUCCCUGCCUCUAGACAUGACGACAUAAACAUGGAACAUGAUGCAUAAUUGCUCUUGGCCAGGACCAGGACCAGGACACUAACUGGGCAAAGGAGAUAAGGAACUCGUUAAGAAUUUAGAAUUGGUCACGGCUUCGUCUCCAUGUUUUCACAGGCAAAGUGGAAAACGGGAUCAACAGCUGAAUAUUGUUAUGCGAACACAUUUCUUGCUGGUGUGUGCUUUUAUCAAUUCAAAUGCAUGUUUCUCAAGAGACACAAACUGCAAUUGAUUCAGAAUGAGAGUAGCAACUUUCGCCUUUGCUUCUGCUACAUACUUCUGUAUAUUGACAUUCAACUGUUUUGGUCGUUCCCAUUUAGUUUCUAAAUUCCAGUUAAGCCUUGUGGAAGUGUAGCAG